UUCCUACGGGAUGCCGUGAUUUCAUUGCCCCGUCUAGGACCUACUGUGGUGUUUGUCUUCACUCGCACCUGUGGUGGAAAAAAAAAAGCGAUGCUUCGAGUCUGGCAGUACCUCUGCAGACCCACCAGGUGGCGACUGUGGGAAGGAUGCCGAGCAGGACAAGAGAGGAAAAACUCCGUCAGGAGGGGUCAGGGCUUCCUGUAUGGAGGACCCGUCCGGAACAAUGCGCAUGCGAGGAUGUACUUCUCUGCUGCAAAGGGUUUUUGGGCUUCGGAUAUAAAAAAAAAGAAAUCCGCGUUAGUAGCAGCCACCGGGUGCAUGCCCGAACGGAGACAUCUCCUGGGGGCCAAUGAAUCACAGACCUUGAGGCCAGGGAGACAGACUAAAUUACAUAUAUGUGUAAAAAAGGGUCUAUGCGUCAAUGCAUGUUUUCUUGGUUAUGUGUGUGUAUAUAUAUAUAUAUAUAUAUAUAUAUAUAUAUAUAUAAACCCUGAGACUCAUACGUGCUUGCGCGGCAAAACGGCAACACAGGAGUUAUUUAGACAGCCAGGGUUUUAAACAUCAUUUGUACAAUGUUUAAAAUUUUGUAUACAUUGUAGAAGUGCUUCCUACGGGUUGCCGUGAUUUCCUUGCCCCGUCUAUGACCUACUGUGGUGUUUGUCUUCACUCGUGCCUGUGGUGGAAAAAAAAAAAGCGAUGCUUCGAGGCUGGCAGUACCUCUGCAGACCCACCAGAUGGCGACUGUGGGAAGGAUGCCGAGCAGGACGAGAGAGGAAUAACUCCGUCAGGAGGGGUCAGGAUUUCCUGUAUGGAGGACCCGUCCGGAACAAUGCGCAUGCAUCUGCGAGGAGGUACUUCUCUGCUGCAAAGGGUUUUUGGGCCUCGGACAAAAAAAGGAAGUCCGCGUUAGGAGCAGCCACCGGGUGCAUGCCCGAACGGAGACAUCUCCUGGAGGCCAAUGAAUCACAGACCUUGAGGCCAGGGAGACAGACUAAAUUAC